GAUGAAGAACGUAGCUAAAUGCGAUAAGUAAUGUGAAUUGCAGAAUUCAGUGAAUCAUCGAAUCUUUGAACGCACAUUGCGCCCCCUGGUAUUCCGGGGGGCAUGCCUGUCCGAGCGUCAUUACAACCCUCAAGCUCAGCUUGGUGUUGGGCCCCGCCGCCCCGGCGGGCCCUAAAGUCAGUGGCGGUGCCGUCCGGCUCCGAGCGUAGUAAUUCUUCUCGCUCUGGAGGCCCGGUCGUGUGCUCGCCAGCAACCCCCAAUUUUUUUCAGGUUGACCUCGGAUCAGGUAGGGAUACCCGCUGAACUUAAGCAUAUCAAUAAGCGGAGGA
rnacentral:misc_RNA from 1 species